rnacentral:rRNA from 1 species
GGGUGAGUAACACGUGGGAACGUACCCUUUACUACGGAACAACUCCGGGAAACUGGAGCUAAUACCGUAUGUGCCCUUCGGGGGAAAGAUUUAUCGGUAAAGGAUCGGCCCGCGUUGGAUUAGCUAGUUGGUGGGGUAAAGGCCUACCAAGGCGACGAUCCAUAGCUGGUCUGAGAGGAGGAGGGGGGCACAUUGGGACUGAGACACGGCCCAAACUCCUACGGGAGGCAGCAGUGGGGAAUAUUGGACAAUGGGCGCAAGCCUGAUCCAGCCAUGCCGCGUGUGUGAUGAAGGCCUUAGGGUUGUAAAGCACUUUCACCGGAGAAGAUAAUGACGGUAUCCGGAGAAGAAGCCCCGGCUAACUUCGUGCCAGCAGCCGCGGUAAUACGAAGGGGGCUAGCGUUGUUCGGAAUUACUGGGCGUAAAGCGCACGUAGGCGGAUAUUUAAGUCAGGGGUGAAAUCCCAGAGCUCAACUCUGGAACUGCCUUUGA